AUUGAACGCUGGCGGCAUGCUUUACACAUGCAAGUCGAACGGUAACAGGUUAAGCUGACGAGUGGCGAACGGGUGAGUAAUGCAUCGGAACGUGCCCGAUCGUGGGGGAUAACGUAGCGAAAGCUGCGCUAAUACCGCAUACGAUCUGAGGAUGAAAGCGGGGGACCGUAAGGCCUCGCGCGAUCGGAGCGGCCGAUGUCAGAUUAGGUAGUUGGUGGGGUAAAGGCCCACCAAGCCGACGAUCUGUAGCUGGUCUGAGAGGACGACCAGCCACACUGGGACUGAGACACGGCCCAGACUUCUACGGGAGGCAGCAGUGGGGAAUUUUGGACAAUGGGCGAAAGCCUGAUCCAGCAAUGCCGCGUGCAGGAAGAAGGCCUUCGGGUUGUAAACUGCUUUUGUACGGAGCGAAAAGGUCCUUUCUAAUACAAGGGGCUCAUGACGGUACCGUAAGAAUAAGCACCGGCUAACUACGUGCCAGCCGCCGCAGUAA
rnacentral:rRNA from 1 species